GACGAACGCUGGCGGCGUGCUUAACACAUGCAAGUCGUACGGUAAGGCCCUUUCGGGGGUCCACGAGUGGCGAACGGGUGAGUAACACGUGAGUAACCUGCCCACAACUUUGGGAUAACGCUAGGAAACUGGUGCUAAUACUGGAUAUGUUCUCCUGCUGCAUGGUGGGGGUUGGAAAGCUCCGGCGGUUGUGGAUGGACUCGCGGCCUAUCAGCUUGUUGGUGGGGUAGUGGCCUACCAAGGCGGCGACGGGUAGCCGGCCUGAGAGGGUGACCGGCCACAUUGGGACUGAGAUACGGCCCAGACUCCUACGGGAGGCAGCAGUGGGGAAUAUUGCACAAUGGGCGCAAGCCUGAUGCAGCAACGCCGCGUGCGGGAUGACGGCCUUCGGGUUGUAAACCGCUUUCAGCAGGGACGAAGCUUUUUGUGACGGUACCUGCAGAAGAAGCACCGGCUAACUACGU
rnacentral:rRNA from 1 species